rnacentral:rRNA from 1 species
AUGAGUUUCGAGGAAGUGAGGCGACGACGCUUGGAGGCAUUGGUGGCUAGUUGUAUAAAGAAGUUCAGGACGAAGAAGCCUGAAGGGUACAAGGAGUGGUCAUGGCGGAAGAAGCCAUAUUGUGGUUGUGAUAUAUUUCCCGGUGUGCUGACCCAGGGAAACCGAAACGUCUGCCAAUUCUGUGCUGUCACAUCAGCUGGGCAAAUGGAGCUGAAUGCAAAGUUCGCCAAGUGGAGCAAAUCAACGUGCAGAUUGAGGUUUCAGUGGGAAUCACUUUUGACACGCUUUUUUGAGUUGAAUGGAUUCAUACCAGAAUCAGACCAUGGAGAAGAGGAGAGGAAAAUGAUGGAGCUAAAGUAUAUCGUUCAAGAUGAGUCUAUAUAUGAUUGGGAUGAUGCGAGUGCCUGGUGUUUCGAGAACCUAGGUGUGUUGGCUGAUGGUGACAAGGCAGUGGUGCAAUAUCCACUAAUGUCAGCCUCCAACAUGUAUAGGAGAUUCUCGACAACUACCGAUGAUAAGAUAAAGGAAAUCAUGGAGAACUCGCGUCUUGUGUCCAAGGAUAAUACUGAUGUCAACGUAGGAAUUGAUGGUUACAAGUAUUUCGAGGACCUGACACUGCAGGAGAUCUGGGACUACGUGGAAAACGGUAGAGCUGUUGUGGCUGGGGUUCUUGCCGGGAAGAAUUUUGACUAUCUUAAACCGGAUGAAAUUUAUGCAUGGAUUCCGAAGACCAAAGUUGAGAAUGGAGUGAGGAAAUGGUUUGAUAAACCAGUCGCUCACGCAAUAGUUCUGAUGGGAAACGGGAACGCUGGACCUCUGAUGCAACAUGAGCAGUAUCAUCCCUUCCUCAAUUCCUAUGGAGAGGAAUAUGCUGGAGGUGGUGUUGGAUCUCUGUUUGCCAAGGCACUAUAUGGUGGAUUCACUCUCUUGGAAGUGAAUGACAAGCUAAAGCAUGUCAAAACCACAAUGUGUGACCUUAAUGAUGAUUUUCCUCGUCCAAAGCUGUACGAGGAUGGUCCUCCGUCUGCCACCUCCUCUUCACCUCCAGGCAUCCAUGCCGUCACUGCUCGUCCGGCUCCUCAUGUCGGGUCCCGUUCACUGCAACGCCUGGGGCGGUCUACUGCUGAGUACGACUCUGCCGUACCACUCUACCGCCCGCCUCCACUCCGCAAUCGCUUGCCCUGCCCAGAUGGAGAAAAGUGCGCAUAG